rnacentral:ncRNA from 1 species
CGCCCAAGACUCAGUGAAAUUGAAAUCGCUGUUAAGAUGCAGUGUACCCGCGGCUAGACGGAAAGACCCCGUGAACCUUUACUACAGCUUCACACUGGACUUUGACCUUACUUGUGUAGGAUAGCUGGGAGGCUUUGAAGCGGUGGCGCCAGCCAUCGUGGAGCCAACCUUGAAAUACCAGCCUGGUAAUGUUGAGGUUCUAACUUAGGUCCGUAAUCCGGAUCGAGGACAGUGUGUGGUGGGUAGUUUGACUGGGGC